rnacentral:rRNA from 1 species
UUAAGCGACUAAGCGUACACGGUGGAUGCCCUGGCAGUCAGAGGCGAUGAAGGACGUGCUAAUCUGCGAUAAGCGUCGGUAAGGUGAUAUGAACCGUUAUAACCGGCGAUUUCCGAAUGGGGAAACCCAGUGUGUUUCGACACACUAUCAUUAACUGAAUCCAUAGGUUAAUGAGGCGAACCGGGGGAACUGAAACAUCUAAGUACCCCGAGGAAAAGAAAUCAACCGAGAUUCCCCCAGUAGCGGCGAGCGAACGGGGAGCAGCCCAGAGCCUGAAUCAGUGUGUGUGUUAGUGGAAGCGUCUGGAAAGGCGCGCGAUACAGGGUGACAGCCCCGUACACAAAAAUGCACAUGCUGUGAGCUCGAUGAGUAGGGCGGGACACGUGGUAUCCUGUCUGAAUAUGGGGGGACCAUCCUCCAAGGCUAAAUACUCCUGACUGACCGAUAGUGAACCAGUACCGUGAGGGAAAGGCGAAAAGAACCCCGGCGAGGGGAGUGAAAAAGAACCUGAAACCGUGUACGUACAAGCAGUGGGAGCNGUGACUGCGUACCUUUUGUAUAAUGGGUCAGCGACUUAUAUUCUGUAGCAAGGUUAACCGAAUAGGGGAGCCGAAGGGAAACCGAGUCUUAACUGGGCGUUAAGUUGCAGGGUAUAGACCCGAAACCCGGUGAUCUAGCCAUGGGCAGGUUGAAGGUUGGGUAACACUAACUGGAGGACCGAACCGACUAAUGUUGAAAAAUUAGCGGAUGACUUGUGGCUGGGGGUGAAAGGCCAAUCAAACCGGGAGAUAGCUGGUUCUCCCCGAAAGCUAUUUAGGUAGCGCCUCGUGAAUUCAUCUCCGGGGGUAGAGCACUGUUUCGGCAAGGGGGUCAUCCCGACUUACCAACCCGAUGCAAACUGCGAAUACCGGAGAAUGUUAUCACGGGAGACACACGGCGGGUGCUAACGUCCGUCGUGAAGAGGGAAACAACCCAGACCGCCAGCUAAGGUCCCAAAGUCAUGGUUAAGUGGGAAACGAUGUGGGAAGGCCCAGACAGCCAGGAUGUUGGCUUAGAAGCAGCCAUCAUUUAAAGAAAGCGUAAUAGCUCACUGGUCGAGUCGGCCUGCGCGGAAGAUGUAACGGGGCUAAACCAUGCACCGAAGCUGCGGCAGCGACGCUUAUGCGUUGUUGGGUAGGGGAGCGUUCUGUAAGCCUGUGAAGGUGUGCUGUGAGGCAUGCUGGAGGUAUCAGAAGUGCGAAUGCUGACAUAAGUAACGAUAAAGCGGGUGAAAAGCCCGCUCGCCGGAAGACCAAGGGUUCCUGUCCAACGUUAAUCGGGGCAGGGUGAGUCGACCCCUAAGGCGAGGCCGAAAGGCGUAGUCGAUGGGAAACAGGUUAAUAUUCCUGUACUUGGUGUUACUGCGAAGGGGGGACGGAGAAGGCUAUGUUGGCCGGGCGACGGUUGUCCCGGUUUAAGCGUGUAGGCUGGUUUUCCAGGCAAAUCCGGAAAAUCAAGGCUGAGGCGUGAUGACGAGGCACUACGGUGCUGAAGCAACAAAUGCCCUGCUUCCAGGAAAAGCCUCUAAGCAUCAGGUAACAUCAAAUCGUACCCCAAACCGACACAGGUGGUCAGGUAGAGAAUACCAAGGCGCUUGAGAGAACUCGGGUGAAGGAACUAGGCAAAAUGGUGCCGUAACUUCGGGAGAAGGCACGCUGAUAUGUAGGUGAGGUCCCUCGCGGAUGGAGCUGAAAUCAGUCGAAGAUACCAGCUGGCUGCAACUGUUUAUUAAAAACACAGCACUGUGCAAACACGAAAGUGGACGUAUACGGUGUGACGCCUGCCCGGUGCCGGAAGGUUAAUUGAUGGGGUUAGCGGUAACGCGAAGCUCUUGAUCGAAGCCCCGGUAAACGGCGGCCGUAACUAUAACGGUCCUAAGGUAGCGAAAUUCCUUGUCGGGUAAGUUCCGACCUGCACGAAUGGCGUAAUGAUGGCCAGGCUGUCUCCACCCGAGACUCAGUGAAAUUGAACUCGCUGUGAAGAUGCAGUGUACCCGCGGCAAGACGGAAAGACCCCGUGAACCUUUACUAUAGCUUGACACUGAACAUUGAGCCUUGAUGUGUAGGAUAGGUGGGAGGCUUUGAAGUGUGGACGCCAGUCUGCAUGGAGCCGACCUUGAAAUACCACCCUUUAAUGUUUGAUGUUCUAACGUUGACCCGUAAUCCGGGUUGCGGACAGUGUCUGGUGGGUAGUUUGACUGGGGCGGUCUCCUCCUAAAGAGUAACGGAGGAGCACGAAGGUUGGCUAAUCCUGGUCGGACAUCAGGAGGUUAGUGCAAUGGCAUAAGCCAGCUUGACUGCGAGCGUGACGGCGCGAGCAGGUGCGAAAGCAGGUCAUAGUGAUCCGGUGGUUCUGAAUGGAAGGGCCAUCGCUCAACGGAUAAAAGGUACUCCGGGGAUAACAGGCUGAUACCGCCCAAGAGUUCAUAUCGACGGCGGUGUUUGGCACCUCGAUGUCGGCUCAUCACAUCCUGGGGCUGAAGUAGGUCCCAAGGGUAUGGCUGUUCGCCAUUUAAAGUGGUACGCGAGCUGGGUUUAGAACGUCGUGAGACAGUUCGGUCCCUAUCUGCCGUGGGCGCUGGAGAACUGAGGGGGGCUGCUCCUAGUACGAGAGGACCGGAGUGGACGCAUCACUGGUGUUCGGGUUGUCAUGCCAAUGGCACUGCCCGGUAGCUAAAUGCGGAAGAGAUAAGUGCUGAAAGCAUCUAAGCACGAAACUUGCCCCGAGAUGAGUUCUCCCUGACUCCUUGAGAGUCCUGAAGGAACGUUGAAGACGACGACGUUGAUAGGCCGGGUGUGUAAGCGCAGCGAUGCGUUGAGCUAACCGGUACUAAUGAACCGUGAGGCUUAACCUU